CUUUUUUUUGGGUUCCAUUUGUUUUUUUAAUUUCUUUUUGUUUAAUUAUCAGUGAUUGUUAAAUUAAUCUUUAAUUUUUUUCUAGUCUCACACUUAAUUGUUAAUCUUUCGGUUGUAUUGGUUGAUAAUUUUAUGUGUUGUCAUCGGCCAAUGAUUGGGAAAUUAAGGGUUUUGUUUAUAUUGAUAUCUAACAACAUGGAGAUAAUUGUUAAUCCAUCCAAUUAUUAUGGACGAUUGGAAAUGUCAUUGAUUACCUUUCAUGUUAAUUGUGUAAUGGGAUUGAUUUGAUUCGAUGAGUUUUCCUUUGAUUGUCAUUACCUAUUCUGUGGGUUUAUAUAAGAAAUAUAAAUUUCUCCAUCAAAAUCAAUUACGUUUUGUGUACAUAGAAAAAGUGUUAACGACAUUUUUGUAGAAUUUUUGUUUUUCUAUUCUUUUCUCUUUGUUUCUCGUCAAUUGGUUGAUCUCUUAUUAAUUAUGAGACGUUCAAGUGAACCUUCACCUGCUUUGUUGGCGAUGACACUUCAUCAGCGAAUGUAUUUUGUCACUGCUUAUUACAGGGCGAAAAAGAAUCUUCAAGGAGCCAUUUCUAUUCUUCGAGAAGAAUAUCCCGAUAUCGCUUUACCAACCAACAGAGAAUUACUUUUACUUGUCACUGAAUUUGAAGCCACUGGUACACUUGAACUUAAACUGCAAUGAGAAAAUGUAUUAAUCCAGUUGUCUCAUCAAUUUCCAUCCCUCUUCCUUUCCAUGAUCUCAUCUUUUUCAUCAUCAAUUUUAUUAAUUACUACUUAUUACCAAUUGGAUAUUGAACCUUAUUUACGAUAUGAAUAACUCAGACCUUUCAUGAAACUGGAUUCAAAUCGGCUAACUACUAAAUCUCAUCGAAAAGAAACCAAAUCAUGACAAAUGGAAUUAAUGUCAGCUAAUCAUUGGAUAAUCUAAUCAGGAACAAGAAAAACAAUUCAAUCAUCAUCAAUUUAAUCAUCAUUUAUAUUUUUCUUCAACGAGCAACUUUAACAUAUCAUCAUCUUAAACAAAUCAACCAAUUAACCUUACAAAUCUAAUUAAACCCUGAAGGCUGAAACAUAAUCACAAUUUUUGGAGGAAUCACUUUCACCGAUAAAAAUGAUUGAUCAAGUUGUACCUUUAUAUUUAAAUGAGGAAACAACAAUUAUUGGUUAAAUUAUGUAAUUAUCAUGAUUAUUAUUCAAUUUUAAUUAGUGUGCAAUCAAAGUAUAAGAUUUAAUUGAUCAGAAAAGUGCUUUCAAUUACCGUUAUGAUUUUGAAUAGAUAAUUUAGUUAAUCUGUUGAUGGUAAAAAUAUUAAUCAUUUCAUUGUAAAUUAUUGUUCAAUGUAAAUUUAAUUUUUAUUACAAAUUAUACUUAAUCAAUUACAAUUAAUUACGAUUCAAGAACAA